UCUUUCUUCUGAUCAGGGAUCCAAUUAUAGAGGAUUGCAAAGAUAAGAUGCCCACCAUAUCAGCCAUCCUGCAACACAUCAGGUGCAGAAAGAGAGGGAGUGAGGAUGGCAGCGUCUGUAUCUCCGCAGAAGACAAACAGGGCGUCUCCGACCACUGAAAUGGGCGAAUUGCAUCAGAAACUGUGGUGACCGAGUCUGGACAGUGACUCUGACACUUCUGCAGUUUUUCUGUGUGACAAGCUCUCCUCAAGACUCGAGACUGGAGGUCAGAGAGCUCUCUCCCCCAGGGUCAGCUGCACCGAUCACAUGGAGGCCAGGCCUCUCUCCCCCUCUUGCUGGCUGUACUGUUUCUGCCAACAGGUGCGAGCGAUGAUGACCACUCAGUGCACACGCAUCAGGGCAGUAUGGCUCCGUGUGGAGAACACAGCAAUCAGGUCCCGGAGGACGGUCCGUGUCGACUCAUGGCCAUGCUACCCCAGCUGGACGACAAGCGCUGCCCAGACAUGAAGUUUCAUACUGGCUUCAUGAGAACGAGGAACUCAAACAGCAGAUUCUGGCCCUGCUGGAGACAGUGUCUGAACUUCAGGAGGAGCUUUGCAACCAUCGGCAUUGAGUCAACGUCUUAGAACUACAGAGGUGCAGCUUGUCAUCGACUGUGUCUCUAUCUACUAUAACGGAGUGCAUCACUCUGGGAUCUACACCGUGGUGCCCUCACUAGGGGCCAUGCCAGUGGAAGUCUACUGUAAUUUGGACACUGACGGUAAGAAACCACUCCACACAUGCAGUAAUGACUGUCCAGGACUCAACUAUAAGGAUGGGCCUGGAGUUUUGGGUCAGUUGACCAUCUUUAACAAAAGAUAUAUUUAUAAGGGAUGUCCCCGACUAAGGAUUUUCACAGUCGAAUCAGAAUUAUCGAAACCUUGCCGAUAUUCGACUGAUAGUCGAAUCCUAUGUUUGGGGACGGGGCAAAAUACAUAGAGUCAAGAUAGACAUUCGACCGCCUUAAUUACUGACGUUAACAAGUAAGGGAAUGUGUGUAAUGAACGCCUCGCAGAUACAAAAGGGGUAAAUAAUGUUUUAUG